CGACUACUCGCACACCACAGCAGCUGCAGGACUUUAUCAACCAGUCGAUAUCAGGCAGAUGAAUGGAUAACAAUGGGUUCCGAUAAUAGUUCUGAUAAUGGAGAUCAUUCGCAAUCUUUCAGUUUUUCGAAGGUAGCCGGCCUUUCAACAGUGGUCGUGUUGUCUGUGAUCUGGUGUUUUGUU